AUGCACGCUGGCGGCGUGCCUAAUACCUGCAAGUCGCGCGAACAGACGAGGAGCUUGCUCCUCUGACGUUAGCGGCGGACGGGUGAGUAACACGUGGAUAACCCACCUAUAAGACUGGGAUAACUUCGGGAAACCGGAGCUAAUACCGGAUAAUAUAUUGAACCGCAUGGUUCAAUAGUGAAAGACGGUUUUGCUGUCACUUAUAGAUGGAUCCGCGCCGCAUUAGCUAGUUGGUAAGGUAACGGCUUACCAAGGCAACGAUGCGUAGCCGACCUGAGAGGGUGAUCGGCCACACUGGAACUGAGACACGGUCCAGACUCCUACGGGAGGCAGCAGUAGGGAAUCUUCCGCAAUGGGCGAAAGCCUGACGGAGCAACGCCGCGUGAGUGAUGAAGGUCUUCGGAUCGUAAAACUCUGUUAUUAGGGAAGAACAAAUGUGUAAGUAACUAUGCACGUCUUGACGGUACCUAAUCAGAAAGCCACGGCUAACUACGUG
rnacentral:rRNA from 1 species